rnacentral:rRNA from 1 species
GGGUCAGUGGGUUGGUCGUGCCACCGGUACGUACUGGUCUCACUGAUUCCUCCUUCCUGAAGAACCGUAAUGCCAUUAAUUUGGUGUUGCAGGGAAACAGGACUGUUACUUUGAAAAAAUUAGAGUGUUUAAAGCAAGCUAACGCUUGAAUACAUUAGCAUGGAAUAAUGGAAUAGGACGAUCGAUCCUAUUUUGUUGGUUUCUAGGAUUGACGUA